rnacentral:misc_RNA from 1 species
GAUGAAGAACGCAGCGAAAUGCGAUACUUGGUGUGAAUUGCAGAAUCCCGUGAACCAUCGAGUCUUUGAACGCAAGUUGCGCCCGAAGCCAUCAGGUUGAGGGCACGUCUGCCUGGGCGUCACAUAUCGUUGCUCGAUGCCUAUCGCAUUGCGAUAGGACUUAGGGCGAAUGAUGGCUUCCCGUGAGCGUUGUUGCCUCGCGGUUGGUUGAAAAUCGAGUCCUUGGUAGGGUGUGCCAUGAUAGAUGGUGGUCGAGUUAGCACGAGACCGUUCAUGUGCAUGCUCCCCAAAAUAUGGCCUCUGUGACCCACACGCGUCUUUUGACGCUCAUGACGAGACCUCAGGUCAGGCGGGGCUACCCGCUGAAUUUAAGCAUAUCAAUAAGCGGAGGA